rnacentral:rRNA from 1 species
UAAGCAAGAAGUGAAUCGUACGGCUCAACCGUAUACACAUUUUUGAACUGGCAAGCUAGAGUAUAUGAGAGGUCACUGGAAUUUCUAGUGUAGGAGUGAAAUCCGUAGAUAUUAGAAGGAACACCGAUGGCGUAGGCAGGUGACUGGCAUAUUACUGACGCUAAGGCACGAAAGCGUGGGGGCGAACCGGAUUAGAUACCCGGGUAGUCCACGCCGUAAACGAUGGAUGCUA